UACGUAGGGUGCGAGCGUUAAUCGGAAUUACUGGGCGUAAAGGGUGCGCAGGCGGUUUUGUAAGCCAGAUGUGAAAUCCCCGGGCUUAACCUGGGAAUGGCAUUUGGGACUGCAAGGCUAGAGUGUGGCAGAGGAGACUGGAAUUCCUGGUGUAGCAGUGAAAUGCGUAGAUAUCGGGAGGAACACCAGUGGCGAAGGCGGCGACCUGGGCCAAUAUUGACGCUGAGGUGCGAAAGCGUGGGGAGCAAACAGG
rnacentral:rRNA from 1 species